AGUGAACUGAGACCAGCAGAUACAGUUAAACAAGAUGGAGUAUAGGACAGGACUGCUGCUUUUAUUCAUCUGCUGUGCAGGUGUUGAUGGGCAAACUCUGACUGAAUCUGAAUCAGUGGUUAAAACACAGGGAGAUUCUCACAAACUGACUUGCACAGCCUCUGGAUUCUCAAUCAGUGGCUGGUGGAUGAACUGGAUCAGACAAGCUCCUGGAAAAGGACUGGAGUGGCUUGCAGCUCAUUAUAAUGAUCGCAGCUUAUAUUAUUCUCAGUCAGUUCAAGGCCGGUUCACCAUCUCCAGAGACGACGGCAGAAAUCAGGUGUAUCUGCAGAUGAACGGCCUGAGAACAGAAGAUUCUGCUGUUUAUUUCUGCGCUCGAGAGCCACAGUGACUGAAGUUGGUUUAGCA